GCCUUAGUGAAACCCAAGAAUAGUUGUGAAACAUAUUCAUAGAAAAGUGGUGGUUAUCCGCCCACACGAUAAAUCCUGGAUGAACAGUAAGGUCAGAAAGGCUAUUAGGAAGCGAAACAGACUGUUAAAAAAUCAUUCUAGAUUAAAAACGUCAGUAACUUGGGAAAAAUAUAGAGUACAAAGAAAUUAUACCACAACAUUAAUAAGAUCAAAUAAAGCGCUUUACUAUGCAAAUUUAAAUAAUAAGCUUCAGG